GAUGAAGAACGUAGCGAAAUGCGAUAAGUAAUGCGAAUUGCAGAAUUCCAGUGAGUCAUCGAAUCUUUGAACGCACAUUGCGCCCGCCAGUAUUCUGGCGGGCAUGCCUGUUCGAGCGUCAUUUCAACCAUCAAGCCCCAGGCUUGUGUUGGGGACCUGCGGCUGCCGCAGGCCCUGAAAACCAGUGGCGGGCUCGCUGUCACACCGGGCGUAGUAGAUUUUAUCUCGCUCAGGGCGUGCUGCGGGUUCCGGCCGUUAAAAAGCCUUUUUUACCCAAGGUUGACCUCGGAUCAGGUAGGAAGACCCGCUGAACUUAAGCAUAUCAAUAAGCGGAGGA
rnacentral:misc_RNA from 1 species